CCACGGGGAGCAGGCCAAGCUCCCGGAUAACCCCGGCAGCGCCGCGGAGCUGCGCGCCGGCGCCGCAGGCGGGCACCGCGUCGAACUGCGACGCCGGGAGCGCCUCGGAGACGAAGCCGACCUGGAACUCGACGGUGCCCUGGUCCGGGUGCGCGACGAUCCCGGUGACGGAGACCCAGAGGAAGAGCUUCUUGGCCUGGAUGCCGGAGAGGUCGGAGAUGGCGCCGUACGAGAGGCGGCCGCGGACGCUCCUCUCGUAGUAGACGAGGUGGGAGCCGAACCAGACGUAGCAGGUCCCCGCCAGGUGGAUCUCGAACUCCCCCGUGGCCUCGUCGAAGCUGUAGGAGGCUACGGAGUCCGGGAUGAGGCCCCUGGGGAGGCCGUACUUCGGGAGGAGGUCGUUCGCCGCGCCGUUCGGCUGGACGCCGCCGCCGGCCGCGGAGGCGGCGCCGGCGACGACGAUGGCGGCGGCGGCGGCGGCGAGGAGGAGAGCUUGAGGAGACAUGGCGGUUGGGGAGUUUGGGAUUUUUUUUUUUUUUGGUGAUCAAUUUUCCGCGCUGUGUAUGGGACUAGGGCUAUGGGUUAGUUAUACUAGUAGCAUUUAAAUUGGGUUUUUCGGCCGGCUUGACUUUUGACUUAUGAAUUGAGAGAUGAGAGAGAGUUCUCAUUGCUUGAGAAAGAGUUUAUGGAUGGUGAUUUGUCAAGUGAACAUAAAAAAACAUGCUCACCCAGCUAACUUUAUUUUUUUUCUUAUGGAAAAGAGAAAGGGUGAGGUAAGACAGUAUCUUAAAAAUCUGAUUAUGUUUAAAAGAUCUCAAACUAUUGCCACCACCAUAUUUGUUAUCGAAGCAAAUCGACACACAAUCCAAUAUGAAAUUUCCUCGUUUUAGUCCUUCUCUUUUCCUUUAGAGUGUAUUUUUUAUAACAAUUAUUACUAGUAUAUUACGAGAGAUAUGUAGCUACAAGCAACACUGUGAUAUGAGUAGACCAAACAUUCACAUGUUUAAGAGUCCAUUUAUAAUAAAUGCACUAUUUUUAGUUUUGUAAAUAUAGAGUGUCACUUCCUUAGCAAUAAGUUUUUCUGCGUGCAACUUGACUGCUUCAUUGAGCGAACUUAUGCUUGGCACUAGCGCUCAAUGAAAACAGUCGGAAGUGAUCGGAAAACAACCUCAACUAUUUUUAUAACCAUAUUUUUCUCGGAAACGAAAUCGAAAACGGUAAAGUUGGAAACGAAAUCAAUAUCGAAAAUAUAAGAAUAUUGGAAACGAAAUAAUACGAACGGAAACAUGUCGGUAUAGAUUGGAAACCGGUAACAAAGACGGAAAUAUUAAACUAUAAAAACAUAUAUUUAAUUUUGCAUAAGUAUGUAAUACAUAUAAAUAAAUUCAAGCUUAUACUAUAUAAAUUAUAAAUUAACUUCAUUUUAGCCAUGUACUCAAGUUAGGGAUUUGAUUUAAGAGUUAAUCAAUCUCUAAACCGUGGGUCAAGUAGAGACAUACCCAAUAAAUAUCGACAUAUUUAGAAAUACGGUAAUUACCAUAUUAUAAGAAACAGUAAUUUCCACAAGAAUACGGUAAAUACGAAAACGAUUGGUAUAAUAGCAAAACUAUUUCCGUUUCCAUUUCCAUAUUUUUUACCAUUUCUAUUUUCAUUUCGGUCGAUUACCAUUUCCAUAUGGCUCGAAAACGAACGCAGGUUGGCCGGUAAUUUCCGCUACUGUUUUCACCCCUACCCCUAUCACAUCUACUAUAUUAGCUCAUGCUCACUCACUCUUUACCUCAGACGUGAAUACUUUGACGUAAUCUCAAGUGUGACUUUGUGUCACUGAUAUGUGGAUCCGACGUACCUUAGAGAAAUAGAACCUAUGUCUAAACGUUGGGCACAGGAAGUGUUUGUUUUCAUUUUAGCUCUUUUACACCAUUUGCAUGUACCCUUCCAAAAACUCAUCUUAGCAAAAGAGGUGUUUAUUUUACAAAUACACUAUAACGGAAGCAUAGAAUUCAGCCAAAACUUCUAAACCGUACAUCUAUAGCUUUAACCCGUUUACUUUACACGACUUAUCCUUAAUCAGGUUGGCUUUGAAUUUAUAUAGCCUCGGCGAUGGAACCACUACCCGACAACCCCGCAUAACAGCCCUAGCUUAUCGGUGAAUCGCAAUAGAAUUAUGAUGAUAUCAAAGGGAAUAAAAAUAAAAGUUUCAGUGUAGUUAAAUUUACUCGAAUCUAAAUUAUGUGCAGUUCGAUCAUCAUAAUUUUUUUCAAAACAAAAAACAUGGGACCCGCCUAUCAUCCACUCUGCCUCCCUUUGCCAUCCUUCUUUCUUAUUUCUAUCGACCUACCAAUUCGAUAGAAAAAACGUAAUUUCUCCGUCUCUCUCUCUCUUAAAAGGUUCAAUCCAAAUUAUGAAUUUUGAUAAUUUAGACAUACAUAUAUCCAGAUUAAUAGUUAGUAUUAAACUUUUCACGGGACGGAGGAUGUAGAUAUUCAGAUCUCUAACAUCAAAUGAUAUAAUAGUACUUGGUUCAUUAAAUGGAGUACCAGUACAGAACGAAAAUUUUGAUGGAUUUUAUUGCCGGAAAUGAGGACCUCGCUUGGAAAAUAAAUGAUUGACAUGGGCAACCAAGCAUGGGCACACACAUGCGUAUGUCACCAUGUGAAAAGUGAAAGCCAUGGAGCAACUCAUACACACAAGCUAAUAAGCUAUACCUCGGCGACGGUGGGGAGCUGCAGGCCGAGCUGGCGUGCGAGCCCGGCGGCGCCGCGGAGCCGCGCGCCGGCGCCGCAGACGGGGACCUCGGCGAAGUCCGACUCCGGCAGCGCCUCGGAGAUGAACCCCGCCCGGAACUCGACGGUGCCCUGGUCGGGGUGGGCGACGAUGGUGGUGAUGGAGACCCAGACGAAGAACUUCUGCGCCUGGAUCCCGGAGAGCCCCGUGAUGGUGCCGUACGCGAUCCGGCCGCGGAUGGCGUCCUCGAAGUAGGCGAGGUGGGAGCCGAACCAGAUGUAGCAGGUGCUCGUCAGCCGGAUCUCGAAGUCCCCCGUGUCGUUGUCGAAGGUGUAGGACGCGAUCGUCUCCGGGAUCAGCCCCCGCGGGAGGCCGUACUCCGGGAGGAGGUCGUUCGCUAUGCCGUGGAGCGGCGCGGCCGAGGCGGUGGCGGAGGUGGCGCAGGUGGCGCCGACGGCGGCGGCGAGGAGGAGGAUGGUGGUGAGAGGAGACAUGGCCAUGGCUUUUUUGGGGGGUUUGGGUUUCUGUGGGUUGUGUCACCUUUUCUAUCUCCUAUGUGUGUUGGCG
rnacentral:lncRNA from 1 species